UGCGACCCAGCGGUUUUUUUAACGGCACCUUUUUUGUUAUUGUUUCAAAUGAAGAUACAAAUUCAAAAUUGAACAGGUGACGAGCUAAAUACAUUUCAAAAUUUAAUUCGCCCUGAGGAAAAACUGUUAUCGAAAGAAUGGCCACCAACAUAAUCAAACCUUGAGAUGGUGUUCUUCAAGCUAAAUUUAACACGGGAUCGGGUAAUUGGUCGGCGGUUUUGCCUUAUGUUGAUCGUCAAAAGAUGUACACCAUUGGCGAUACGUUCACCUCGUCCGAGACGCAGGGCGAAUUCGUCUUUUUCAGGAUAAUCGUGUGGAACAAGGAGGAGUGGAAUUGGAGUUUCGGUUUGGAAAUCUUCUGCGAAGAUAACUAUUACUGGAUCAAACCUUUAGAGGAGGGGGACGGAAUUUAUAAAAACAGCGUAAACCUGGAUGCCAACGUGAAAACUAUGCUAAAUUUUGGCGACAUUUUCACCGUCAUGAACAUAGGGCGGAUAUGUAUGUACUUAAAUUCCUCAAAAUAUGUAUGUAAUAUGUGCUUAAAAAACACGAAAAUAUGCACAUAAAACAUAUUUUUCUAUUGCAAUUUUCUACUGUAUUUAAAUUUAAGUGUCCAAACCUUUAAACUUUUUAACACUCUUAUCAACGAAUUAUUAAAUAUAUCAUUUUAAUCUUCAUCUAAUGACCCAUAAUGCGACAUUAGUUACAUUCGAAGAUUUUCAGGGGUAAUUUUUUGACUUGCAAAAUGGGCAAACUGGAUUUGCUAGUAGUUCAUAUUAAUUUAACAUCAUGAUUAUCAUGAAAAUCUAAUUUUGACAAAACUUUAAUUUCUGAAUAAAGAAAAAUA